rnacentral:lncRNA from 1 species
AUAGUGAUUACGGGUAUCGAUCCACAGGAAUUGGGGUACAGUUGUUUUUCUUAAAAAUAAAAAUAUUUGAAAAGAAAAAUUUGUAAAGAAAAUUAAACUAAGAAAUUUAAUGAAAAUGCAAUUGAAGUGAUAUCAGUGUGAGGGAACCUAGGGCAAGGAAUUCACCACUAACAUUGGAACAAGGGUUAUUUGUAUUUUAAUUUAUUCUUGGAUUAAUAU